GAUGAAGAACGUAGCGAAACGCGAUAUGUAAUGUGAAUUGCAGAAUUCAGUGAAUCAUCGAAUCUUUGAACGCACAUGGCGCCUUCCAGUAUCCUGGGAGGCAUGCCUGUCCGAGCGUCGUUUCAACCCUCGAGCCCCCGUGGCCCGGCGUUGGGGAUCUGCCCAGGCAGUCCCCGAAAACGAGUGGCGGACCCGUUACAGGCCCUUCCCUUGCGUAGUAGCAUUCGCCUCGCAUCGGGAGCCGGCGGGCUUCCAGCCUCUAAACCCCCAUCAAGUCCGCCCCGGCGGCACCAAGGUUGACCUCGGAUCAGGUAGGAAUACCCGCUGAACUUAAGCAUAUCAAUAAGCGGAGGA
rnacentral:misc_RNA from 1 species